CGGAGCUAGAGUUUCCCAGAAUCCAGGGGCUGAGACUAGGGAAGGACGGCUUCCCCGAGCCAGCAACUCCUUAUUUCCCCACGCCUGGAUCUGACCAUGUGACUUGUGUUGGCCAAUGGGAUGCGAGCAGACAUCGUGCCUGUCCAGCCCCGCCCCCCAGGAUGAGCGCCAAGUGGAGCAGAGCCCGGAGACCCCGGCUUCUGGGCGGGACAGGAAUGGUUUUGACACCAUACCACCGACGUGUGUGUGCGUGCGUGUGUGGUGCACGCAGCAAUGGGUAAUGAUAUAGGUACUAGAAAAAAGAGUCACUUUCUGAAGUCACUUGGGAUAGGCCAUAGCAGUCCAGGGCCCAGACCUGUGCAGCUGGUUUCCCUGUCCAGUCUGACCUCAGCACGCAGGGACUGCACCACAGCACUACCUUACUCUGCGCACACAUGCAGCUGGUCCUCGUUACAGCUCUCGUCCCCACAUCACAGGAAGAGGGGAUUUGAGAGGGUACCUCGAACUGUUCCCUAAGGCCUGCAACUGAGCUACUGACAUUCUAAUCACCAGUGGUCAGAGCUAGGUGGCUUCUUUGGUUCACCUCAUUUGAUCUGCACUUUACACAAGAGGAGCACAAGUUCCAGGAGGCUGAUCAACUUGUCCAGGGUCACUCUGCCCAUGACCUGCACGAGACCUUUCUUCCUUAGCGAGAAAUAGCACAGACCAAAGCUCAGGGCCAGCCCUUCUCAUUGCAGCUCUGCCCAGGGGAACAUGGACAAGAGGUCUCCAUCAGCCAAGAGUCAUGCCCAGAAGGAAAAAACAGGAGCCUCCUUGACCCAGUGUCCAGGCACUGACUGGCAGCAGGGCACCCAAUUCAAUUUGCUUAUCUCCUUUCCUGCCUCCCUCUUUCCUGUGUUCUUCAAUUACAGGCAGAGUCGGUGUCUUUUCCAGUAAGUGCAGUGAUGUGAAAGGAUCUGAGUGGGCAGGGCAAGGGGGACAUCUGCAGAGGCCCUCUAUGCUGUCUCGUUCUGGCCUGGAAGCAGGAGGAAGUCAAGCAGCUGCUUUAGCCAGCUGGUAGCAGAGAGGGGAGAUGGGGAGCUCUACCAGCUGAACAGGAGCAAUCACAGGUUAAGACACAAGACCUCUCAAGACAGCAAGUACCUCCUGGCAUAGUUCCUCUGCAGAUAACUCAGUAUGAAGAUGUUCCAAGUAGUGACAGACUAGAAACAAUGUAGGUGUCUAUCAAUAAGGGGAUAAAAUAAAACACGUUAUUCUUCGUGCAGUGGAAUACAGUGAGGCUGUUAAAUCCCUAAACCAACAAACGAGGCAGAGAGACUGCCACAGCAGCAGGGGUUAGGUUAAGGCUGAGAGAAGAAGCAGAGAAAAGGUGGUGUGGCUGCAGAUUUUUCAGAGCCAGAAGCCUGCACUUCCCAAAGGGGAGGGGUAUACCUGAGGCACAAAAUCUAAACCCCUUAUUUGGAGCAGUGAAAGUGGGGUGCAUCGGCUGGUGACAGACCAGCAGAGAAAAAAAGUCGUGUGGCUGC